GACAUCCCGGAGACCCUUAGGAAACUAGGGGGUGCUUCCAUCUGGAAGAAAUCUGGAGACAGGUGCUGCAUGGCUGUCGUCAGCUCGUGUCGUGAGAUGUUGGGUUAAGUCCCGCAACGAGCGCAACCCUUGCCUUUAGUUGCCAGCAGUUCGGCUGGGCACUCUAAAGGGGACUGCCGGUGUUAAACCGGAGGAAGGUGGGGAUGACGUCAAGUCCUCAUGGCCUUUAUGACCAGGGCUACACACGUACUACAAUGGCCGAUACAAAGGGCAGCGACACUGCGAGGUGAAGCCAAUCCCGUAAAAUCGGUCUCAGUCCGGAUUGGAGUCUGCAACUCGACUCCAUGAAGUUGGAAUCGCUAGUAAUCGUGGAUCAGCAUGCCACGGUGAAUACGUUCCCGGGCCUU
rnacentral:rRNA from 1 species